AGGAAAUCAUUAUAUUUUCCUCAUUUUCCUUUUCCCCAUUACUUUCCGAAUACCCUCAGUCGUCUAGUUUUCCUUUUCCAUCUUUGUUGAAUCUGUUUUUGCUUCCUUUUCAACCUCCAACGUGCAAAUAUUGCAAGGCUAACGAAUUAGCCCUUACACGAACAUGUCUAACUUGCUCGGCAAAGACAGGAAGUAUCAACCAAUUCUCUCCCACUUACAAACCAAAUGACAACUCCCAAGUAUAAGAGCUAUGCAUCAUCUCCUUCUCUUAUCGCUAUUUUUGCUAAAUUUCCUUACAGUUUCUAUUAUUACUCAAUGUUUCUCAUUGACGAAAAAGCAGAGAGCAUUCAAGAAUCCAAAAUUUCUGAUGUCUCAAAAACUCACCUUUUCAUUGCAGGAUUCAACCCAAUUCCGUUGUUUCCUGCACAGUGCCCAACUCUGCAAAACGCAUUAACACAUCAACUCAUUCGAGCCGUUUUCAGUUUACAUACAUAUAGAUAGAUAGAUAUAGAUUUAAUAGAUUAGGGUUUUCAAAAAAAAUUACCUGGCUGAGGUGAGAUGGUCGAGGGUGAGGAUUCAAUGGUGGAAGAUUCUAUUGUUGAGAUCAGAUGCAGUACUGCCUUUCUUUUAUCUAAUAACUCUAUGGUAGAACAUUUUGCAAGUCUUACUGCUGUACCUACUCUUUUAGCCAUUCUUAAUGCUUCAUCUCAUUUCAAUAGUUGCUAUCAUGGCAUGGUUGAUUGUUGGUUGUUGCUUAGUGGUUUUUGGACUAGAAGGUGCUAGUCACCGUCUUAUCAGCUCAUUCAAUUGGCUUGGAAUUUUAUGGAAGGUUUAUUUCCAUCAUAAUGUGUCCCAUUGUCGUUAUACGGAAUCCUGUAUAUAUGCAAAUUCCAGUCCCAAAUUAAGUAGCCUUUAUUUCAUAUCAGAUCGUCUCUAUUAAUGUGAAUCUUCCUUUUGCUGCUAUUGUUAAGAGAGUGAAAACUUGUAUAAUUUUUGCAGACUUCAUAUAUUGAUCAUUGAUCGUCUCUAUUAAUGGGUGACUUGCUUUGUAGGAACAUUAGCAUUUGUUCGGUGCUGCACUCGGAACUAUGAGUGGUAAUGGAUGGCUUAGACAUCGCAUGGCAGCAAGGAUUAACCCAAUUGAUAGUGAAAAGUGAUAGCUUGGAAACUGUUAAUAUGAUUCAAAAGCCUAACAGCGACAACUGCUAGCUAGACGAUGGACUGUCAGACUCCAGCAUAUUCCUCGCACAGCGAAUAUGGCGGCUGAUAUUAUGGCGAAGUCUCUAAAAGAUGCUUUGUAGGCCUGCAAUUUCUUGAGGAAUCCACAGACAAGAUUCAAUCGGCUAUUCUUCAUGUUGCUGAACUAAAUUUUCAGUUUUAUAGAUCAAUUGACUAGUCCGUACUAGGUUCUCUUCUUUUAUAAAAAAAUAAAAAUAAGAUAUUUAUAAAAUUAUUUCAGUAAUUUAGGUUUUUUUUUUAAAUGUAAAGUAAGCUAGUCUAAGAGGAGAGUUUCCAUGGCAAUUUUCAAAUUAAUGUCUAUGUGGGUACGUUCUGAAAUUCUCUUAUCCCUCUCUAUUCUUGAUAUCAAAGUAGGUUAUUUAAAUUAAUCAAAUUUUAUUUAUUUGCUUAUAGGAAGAGGAACCCUACCCAGGGUUUUACUUACACAUGGCAAGAUACGAGUAGUCGUUGGAACUUUUUAAUGUCUCUCCUCCAUAAACAAUUGCAAGGUUAUUUUUGUUAAUUUGUAAUCUUUUAUGGGCUCGUAGAGAUGGAGAUAGGCCCAAUAAUCUGUCCAAGAGGUCUACAUAAUGGGCAAAUUCAACUGAAGCGACAUAAAAAGCACUCGCUUGCUCUAGCUUCAUUUGAACGUUUAUUUUCAGUGUGAUGUGUUUAGUGUUUUUUUUCAUGUUAGAAUAUUAUUAUAGUAUUUAAUUUUUAUUAUCACUGUUGUUUUUACACUAAC
rnacentral:lncRNA from 1 species